CUUGCCCCUUGAGGCGUUGCAGUCCUACGUCUUGUGGUGGUGACUGUGUCAGGAGGUGGCAUAGAGGAAGGGGACCUGGGCUGGCUGUGUACUGUACUUGGUACCCACAACAUGGGCGCUUUGU